CCUGGCGGCAACAGCGCGGUGGUCCCACCUGACCCCAUGCCGAACUCAGAAGUGAAACGCCGUAGCGCCGAUGGUAGUGUGGGGUCUCCCAUGCGAGAGUAGGGAACUGCCAGGC
rnacentral:rRNA from 1 species